AUAAAAGCAUUCCUUAUCAUCCUAGCAUCCACCUAUCUUUAAAUCUCACAAAACUUUCAUUCAUUUUCCCUGUGUUUUACACCUAUUUCCUUCAUUCUACCAGAUUUCAACACCUCUCUGGCUGUUCAUUGCAUCUAGAAUGAUGUACACAGCUCGCCAAGCAACAAAUUAUGUUCUCUGGAAAAAAAAAAAGGCAAGCUACUUAUGUCUAAUUAACUUCACUACAGCAUGUUUAACAUUAUGGGAAGGUAACCUGCUGAGUCCAGGGCAGAGCUGUGCCAGAUUGAAACUCUCCCAAACGACUGCUAUUGAUGAAUAAACAAAGCAGGUCGGCCAAGGUCUUUGUCUUUUCACAUCAAUUUUGAAGAGAUGUAAACUCCAAGCAAGUGAUGUACACCUGGCACAAACAAGAACUGCUUUCACAUGGGCAAUCACAUCAGCUAUUUUUCUGAACAGACCCUGCUGCUGGGUCUUUUACUCCCCAGCACAUUAAUUUUUUAUCUAUUUGUUUGGGAAAGGUGCCAGACAGUAAAAUGAAACAUCUUGGGCAACUGAGACACAAAAAUUUAAACAAAUGCAGGUUAUUAGAAGAUAUUAUUUCAUAUACACUCCAGGCAUCUCAAGAUGUUUCAGAGCUGAAAAGGGUAAAAAAAUGCUGCUAAUAUCAGGAUCAUUGCUGGGUAAUGGUAUACGGAAUUGAAUGAAGUUCUUAAGCAGACUUUACAUUGUAACUCGUGUCCUAUAACCACAGGAAGAGUCAUGGAAACGGCUGUUUGAGCCUGAAACAAUGAAUCCUUCUGUAAUAGCAAGUUUGUUAACGUAUGGCAUAUCCCCCUUGCACACAUAAUCUGUUGGAUUUUGUCCCAAAGUAGCUGUAAGCAAAGGAUGAUGCUGAACAUUUUACAAUGGAAAGCUUGCUGAGGACUAAAUAACAGUGCUGUGAUUUAGGGCACCGUGAUGGUGCUGACAGUGUGCAGAGUAUAAAUGAAGUUAAAGUCUUUGGGCACAGUAAUUACCUCUUUUGUCUUUGGUGUGCCAGUACUAUAGAGAAGAUUUUAUAUUGCUGGAGUUAAUAAAUCAUUCACCAUGAGUACA